rnacentral:rRNA from 1 species
GACAGAGGUGCCGAGCGUUAAUCGGAAUUACUGGGCGUAAAGCGUGCGCAGGCGGUGAUGUAAGACAGAUGUGAAAUCCCCGGGCUCAACCUGGGAACUGCAUUUGUGACUGCAUCGCUGGAGUGCGGCAGAGGGGGAUGGAAUUCCGCGUGUAGCAGUGAAAUGCGUAGAUAUGCGGAGGAACACCGAUGGCGAAGGCAAUCCCCUGGGCCUGCACUGACGCUCAUGCACGAAAGCGUGGGGAGCAAACAGG